CCCCAGCACUGCCGGCCCGCCGUAGCCACGCUCGAAUUCUUGCCAGCCUCAGCCGCCUUCUCGCGGGGCAGGUCUCAGGACCUGCAGCCCGCCAAGCCCGAGCCCCGCUGAGGUGGCCUCCUCCACGCGGCGCCCGGUCCCAUCUACCGCCCAAGGAUGGAGGUGGUGAAGAUAUCACUGAACUCAUGAAACCAUAGGAAUCAAGUCUUCUGAAGUAGCACCAUUAUCAACUUCCACAGACCAGGUGAAGUUCCUGCUUAUCCCUGAGCACAGAAGAUUUCAGUUUUCUGUCAGACCAUAGAUCAAAUGAGGCAAUCACAUUUUUCCCAGGGAAUGAAAAAGGACAAGCACCCUCUUGAAACUACAAAGCCUGCUUUCCACAGCUGCUGCUUAUCCACUCUGUUUCAAGGACACCCCCAUGUAACCCUGCAUGACAUGCUGUGCCCUUCUCCCUGGGACUGUGAGUCUACGUGACUAAAACACUGCUGUCCAUCUCAUCUGUCCAAUUGCAGGUCUCAUGUGUUGAGUCAUUCUC
rnacentral:lncRNA from 1 species